AACGAACGCUGGCGGCAGGCCUAACACAUGCAAGUCGAACGCCGUAGCAAUACGGAGUGGCAGACGGGUGAGUAACGCGUGGGAACAUACCCCUCGGUUCGGAAUAACUUAGGGAAACUUGAGCUAAUACCGGAUACGUCCGAGGUUUUAACCGGCCUCGGAGAAAGAUUUAUCGCCGGAGGAUUGGCCCGCGUCUGAUUAGCUUGUUGGUGAGGUAAUGGCUCACCAAGGCGACGAUCAGUAGCUGGUCUGAGAGGAUGAUCAGCCACAUUGGGACUGAGACACGGCCCAAACUCCUACGGGAGGCAGCAGUGGGGAAUAUUGGACAAUGGGCGAAAGCCUGAUCCAGCCAUGCCGCGUGAGUGAUGAAGGCCUUAGGGUUGUAAAGCUCUUUUACCCGGGAAGA
rnacentral:rRNA from 1 species